UAGUUUAUUGUUGUUGACAGACAUAUAACAUGAAAUGCAUUGUAUAUUGUGAACCUUAUACAUUAGCUUCUGAUUGUUUCUGCAGUUCUGCAGUGUAUGUAGCUACACUGUCUGAGCCAAAGAGAAUGCAACAGAAUCUGAUGAAUCUGAAAAGUGUUUUCCUUUUUUUUCUCAUUAUUAUUAUUAUUGUUGUUAUUAUUCUUUUUAUUUAUUUAUUUUAUGAAAGGGGGACCCGGCUACACCUUUCCUACCAUACACCUGAUGGAUACUGACUGUAAAAUGGCAAUCAUAGGAGGAGGGCUCAGUGUGCUAACUGAGACUUGUUAUAGCUCUUAUAUGUCAUUGCUCUUUUUGUUGUUUUUGAUUGCUUCAACUCUGUCCUCAUUUGUAAGUCGAUUUGAAUAAAAGCGUCUGCUAAAUGAAUAAAUGUAAAUAUUAGUAUAACCUGUGGUAUAGAUGAGUGCCAGUCAACUUUUUUGUGAUUCCAUUCUUUUAGAAACCAUGCACAGGAAGCAUGUACUUUUGGUACUCAGUGAAGAGUCAGUAGUACAGUUGUAUUAUAAUAUAAUAAAGAAGGCUCUGGCU